rnacentral:rRNA from 1 species
GCAAGUCGAGCGGUAACAGAUCCAGCUUGCUGGAUGCUGACGAGCGGCGGAUGGGUGAGUAAUGCAUAGGAAUCUGCCCGAUAGUGGGGGAUAACCUGGGGAAACCCAGGCUAAUACCGCAUACGUCCUACGGGAGAAAGGGGGCUCCGGCUCCCGCUAUGGGAUGAGCCUAUGUCGGAUUAGCUAGUUGGUGAGGUAACGGCUCACCAAGGCCGCGAUCCGUAGCUGGUUUUAGAGGAUGAUC